AUUGAACGCUGGCGGCAGGCCUAACACAUGCAAGUCGAACGAGUGGCGGACGGGUGAGUAAUGUCUGGGAAACUGCCCGAUGGAGGGGGAUAACUACUGGAAACGGUAGCUAAUACCGCAUACCAUCGGAUGUGCCCAGAUGGGCUUAGCUAGUAGGUGGGGUAACGGCUCACCUAGGCGACGAUCCCUAGCUGGUCUGAGAGGAUGAACAGCCACACUGGAACUUAGACACGGUCCAGACUCCUACGGGAGGCAGCAGUGGGUAAUAUUGCACAAUGGGCGCAAGCCUGAUGCGGCCAUGCCGCGUGUAUGAAGAAGGCCUUCGGGUUGUAAAGUACUUUCAGCGAGGAGGCGUUACUCGCAGAAGAAGCACCGGCUAACUCCGUGCCAGCAGCCGCGGUAAUAC
rnacentral:rRNA from 1 species